rnacentral:hammerhead_ribozyme from 1 species
AUCUAGCCGACGAGUUCCAACUAAGACGAAACGCACGUCCUACAU